rnacentral:rRNA from 1 species
AUGCUCCACCGGCGGCACCCCCUCGCCGCCCUGCUCCGCCUCUUCUCCACCACCUGCCGCCGCCGCUCCCGCCUUCCCUCGCAGCCGCAUCUCCCGAACACCGACACCCUCCCGCCGCUCCCUGUGGCGAAGAAGGUCCCCUUCACCGUGUCGACGCACGGGAGGUCGUGGAGCGACCCCUACCACUGGAUGCGCGACACCUCCGACCCCCACCUCGCCGCCCUCCUCGCCGCCGAGAACGCCUACGCAGACGCCUUCGUCUCCUCGGCCGGCGGAGGCGGCCUCCGCGCGCGCCUCGCUGCCGAGAUGCGCGCCCGGCUGCCCCCUUCCGCCGUUUCCCCGCGUCAGCCCUGGGGCCCUUGGUCAUAUUACCAGUACGUGCCAAAUGGAAUGGAGUACCCAGUUUUGUCCAGAAAGUUAAGGCCCUCUGGUGGUUUAGCAGGACGUUUCCUUAGUUAUCUUUCUGACUGGGAGAAGGAAGAAGUGUUGCUUGACUGGAAUGAGAUCGCAGAGAAAUUUGGUUAUGUUCACAUUGGGAGUUGUCGAAUAUCUCCUGAUCAUAGGUUUCUUGCGUAUACUCUCGAUACAUCUGGGGGUGAACUGUUUUCACUGGAAGUGAAAGAUCUUCCGUCUAAGCAUGUCAUUUUUAGUUUGCCAGACAAGGGAAUUGUCAGUUUAGCAUGGACUCACGACAGUGAAAAUUUAUUUUAUACUGUCUGUGAUGAGACUCUACGUCCCAAUCAGGUUUUCUGUAAAAAGAUGCAGUCAGAUGAGGCCGGUUUCUUAGUUUUCAUGGAGGAUGAUGUAAACUGUUGCGUGGAUAUCACAAGCACAAAAGAUUUCAAAUAUAUCACUGUUUAUGUGAUGGAAUCUGGUAAUGUAAGAGAAGGCUUAUGGCCUGUACAAAAACGCACCAACAAAGUGCAGUACUUUUUGGAGCAUCAUAAUGGGUUUUUCUAUAUUCUUACUAAUGCACCCUUGAAAGAUACUGAAACUGCAGUUGAAGGCUACUACCUGGCCAGGUGUAGAGCUGAAAAAUCACUGAUGGAUAAAUGGCAGGUUGUGGCACUCCCUGGGCCGGACUGCACAUUUCAGGAUAUGGAUAUUUUUCACGAACAUUUAGUUCUCUUUCUUCAAAAAGACGGGCUUCCUCUGUUUUGCUCCAUCGAUUUGCCAGUCCAGAUUGACUUUCAGGAGCCAAAGGAAUUUGGUGAUUUCGCUCCAUGGUUUUUCCCAAUACCUUCAAAUUUAUGUAGCAUUCUUCCUGGGCCCAACAAUGAUUUCAUGUCAUCUACUUUUCGUCUGGUGGUGUCAUCACCAGUGAUUCCAGACUUAACUGUGGAUUAUGACAUGAGAAAGAAGACAUUUACUAUCGUUGAUCAAGAGGAAGUGACUGGCCUUUGUUCAAGUCUAUACACAGUAGGACAAUCCAAUGUUUCAAGCAUCCAACAAAAUCUGCAGCUUAUUGAAGAUUAA